GAUGAAGAACGUAGCGAAAUGCGAUAAGUAAUGUGAAUUGCAGAAUUCAGUGAAUCAUCGAAUCUUUGAACGCACAUUGCGCCCGCCAGUAUUCUGGCGGGCAUGCCUGUUCGAGCGUCAUUUCAACCAUCAAGCCCCCGGCUUGUGUUGCGGACCUGCGGCUGCCGCAGGCCCUGAAAACCAGUGGCGGGCUCGCUAGUCACUCCGAGCGUAGUAAUACAUCUCGCUCAGGGCGUGCUGCGGGUUCCGGCCGUUAAAAAGCCUUAUUUACCCAAGGUUGACCUCGGAUCAGGUAGGAAGACCCGCUGAACUUAAGCAUAUCAAUAAGCGGAGGA
rnacentral:misc_RNA from 1 species